AUUGAACGCUGGCGGCAGGCCUAACACAUGCAAGUCGAACGAGCGGCGGACGGGUGAGUAAUAUAUGGGGAAUGUCCGAUAGCGGGGGAUAAAUCCUUGAAACGGUAGCCAAUUACGCAUACUAACGGAUAGACUAUAUGGUAUUAGCUAGUAGGUGAGGUAAUGGCUCACCUAGGCGACGAUCCCUAGCUGGUCUGAGAGGAUGAUCAGCCACACUGGGAUUGAGACAAGGCCCGAACUCCUACGGAGGCAGCAGUGGGGAAUAUUGCACAAUGGGCGCAAGCCUGAUGCAGCCAUGCCGCGUGUAUGAAGAAGGCCCUAGGGUUGUAAAGUACUUUCAGUCUGGAGGCGUUACCUACAGAAGAAGCACCGGCUAACUCCGUGCCAGCAGCCGCGGUAAUAC
rnacentral:rRNA from 1 species